UGAGCAACCUGCCCUUGGCUUCGGGAUAACUCCGGGAAACCGGGGCUAAUACCGGAUGUGACGCGCCCGCGCAUGGGGGUGUGUGGAAAGAUUUAUCGGCCAGGGAUGGGCUCGCGGCCUAUCAGCUUGUUGGUGGGGUGAUGGCCUACCAAGGCGACGACGGGUAGCCGGCCUGAGAGGGCGACCGGCCACACUGGGACUGAGACACGGCCCAGACUCCGUACGGGAGGCA
rnacentral:rRNA from 1 species